GGGCGGGUGGUGAAAUUGGCAAACACGCUUGAUUUAAGCUCAAGUGCCGCAAGGCUUGAGGGUUCGAGUCCCUCCUCGCCCA
rfam:Parcubacteria (Nomurabacteria) bacterium GW2011_GWA1_46_11 TX31_C0005, whole genome shotgun sequence.